UGGAGGCCUGCCGGACGGUCGGCAGGCGGCAGAAAGAGGUUUGCCUCUCUCUCCUCUCUUUGUCCCUUCCUCUCUAUCUCUCUCUCAUCUCUCCUGUCCCAGGUCGCUCCAUCCAUCUCGUCUUCUCACUUCCAUUCCGGCCAAGAUCCGGAUCUCCCGCUCUCUCUCCUCCUGGUCUUCAACAGCACAUGGCAGAUGGGGAGGACGGCCGGGAGAUGGUGACCUGCUUGGAGCUUGUGGCGCCCUUGUGCUACAGCCUACAGGCCUAGGUAUGUGCUCUCUCCCCCCUCUCCUCUGAAAUAACCGAACCCUUUUUUUGAAGCCUACAGUGAAAAUUUGACGGUGGCGACGAGGUCAAGUGGCUGUCCAAGUCGACGAAGAGCGAACCAUGAAGGUUCUGCGGCUGUUCAGACCUGGAGUGAUUUGAUUUGCAGUGUGGGGAAAGGCAGUGCUAUGCACAUGGGGUCCGUCUCCCUCUCUUUUGUUGUGCACCGUUAUGGAGUGCUCAAUUCUCUGUCAAAGAUCUCUUGCAUCUGAGAAGGAGCUGGACGGGCCCUGAAGUUUCCAUGGCUAGAAACAUGGUCAAGAGCCCCAGGUGGAAAACUAGAAGCUGGGUACGAGUCCUACUGGUUGAGGAGCAUGGAUAUGAAGAGAAUGGGUGCACAUGGCGGCUGGCUUGUGGUAUUUUUAUGAGAUGUAGGUUGGUCUAAAGGUGAAGAGCUUCAAGGGCUUGUCGGUUCGCAAGGCACUGGUUCAGUGGUUCUUGAGGCGAGCUUAUUUGGAGCUUCCAGAUUGUCCUGGGCUUCAUCAAAAGGAUGCCCGCACCGGCCUUUGUCAUGGAUUUGAGCAAAGGGAAUAGUCUCAGGAAGGUUAUUUGGAGGAAGAAGGCGACCAAUACUCACCAAAACUGUUGUGUUGGAGGAGGGCAAAUUUGCCAUCUAUAAUUUUGUAUUUAGUUCAGUUUGGUACUAAACAAUGGUAUUGCUCUUCUUGUUUAAAUCAAUCGAGAAUAAAUACUGCAGAGUGUUUGCUAUAAGUUAGUUAGGUUAUAUUUUUAUUUCUGAUAAUUGCUCAAUGCUGUUUGAUAUUUCUUUGUACUUCGUAUUUAGUUGUGCCAGAAGUAUUGUCGAUGCUUUAGGUUUUCCAUUGUCGGGUUCAAGCACUCAAAUAAUUUUUUGUUGCAGAGUUUUGAUUUAUGAGAUGAGAUACAACAUUCAACCUCAUUAAAAAUACAUACAUUUACAGAAUGGUGCUUCAUUACCCUCCUCACCUCACCCACAAUAAAGCGGAUGGGGAACACGCAUCGAGCUGGUAUUCUUGCACGUGCUCAUGUCUUGUUCACCUUCCCCAGUUUAUUAUCCUCAAGUAUUAGUAAUUAGGAAUUUAUGGGAACAGUGGUUUUCUGAUGGUAUCGUGCAAUGAUGGUCUGAACCCAAUGCAAGCUGCUGUCUGUGCAAUAAGAGAAGAAAGUUUUAUCAAGAAGGCCAACAUGUGUGCAGCUUUUCUUCAUUCUAAGAUCUGAACUCCUCUUGUUUCAUAAAGCACUAGGAGCAAAAAUACUUGCAUUUGUGGAAUAUCCAUAUAUAUUUGAUACCUCCGUUUCCUUCAAAUAAAUCUCAGUUCAGGAAAAUAAAUUACUUGACAGUGUGCAGUAGAUUAGUUCACAAAAAUAAAUUACCGUAUUUGUUUGUAGUUGUAUCCCUGACUAAUAAAGAGUUUGUUCGCUCCUGCAGUAUCAAUUAUUACGAUAAAAUGGGUCUUCUUAUGAUGUUCUUAUUAGUAUCGUUACUCCAUCUGGAGAAUGACGUUUACUCUUUCAGCUAACAACAUAUUUGAAACAAAAAGUUCCGUGUCAUUUUCAUUUGUAAAAUUAAAUUUGUAGUGUGAAUCUGUUAUGCUUAAUCAUGGUGGGGGUCCUUUUGAAGUUGUUCCUGUCUCCAAGCAUGAUUCUGCUAGCUACAGAGGUUCAAAUCCAUAAGUACAGCUUAACAAUUUGGAUUUCAAUCAUGCUUUCUAUCCAUUAUGGUUCGGUUUUAAAUGCUUUGAGAGCUCUUUAUUAAGAUUUUGUAUGAUUAAGAACCUAAAAAAUACCUUGAAUGCCCUCAAUAUUUAGAGUUAGUUAUAGUGAUUUUGUACAGAGCUUUUGCCUGCAAAGGUUGUCCGUGUUACUCUACGGGUCAUCUGGCAGCAUGUAAGGAUGAUAGGAAACUGUUGAAAAGCUAGGCUAAUAGGAAAUUGUCAGAUGUAAGUCCUCAUGUCUUCAGCUCGCAAAUGGCAUGCAUGCCAAAUAUUAAAAUGACGUUGUUAAAGAAGAUAUAUGUAGGUAACUAGGGAACAUCAAAAUUGGGGUUUACAUUGACAUGUGCCAUGGUGCCUAGCUGAUGUGAUAAUUUCUAUCUGAAACUGAAAUUUCUGAACUUUUACCCCUCUUUCGGGUAACUGGAGUGAUGAUGGUUCAGUGAAGCUAUGGAGUAUGAAUCAGGCAAUUCUACUCUUACACCUGAUCAAAAAAAAUUAUGAACUCUGCAGGUUGGGAGUGUUGGCACUGUCAGAACAGGGGCAAAUAUCUGCUAUGUACAUCAUGUUUUCGCUCGCUCCAUUGCAAAUGACUCCUCUUCUCACGGUAUUGUUUUAGAAAUGGUUCCUGUUGGACAAAUAAACAAGUGCUCUCUCACCUUCUGCUUAAGAAUACACGGAGGGUACCCCUCUCCCUUGUCACACCUGUCAUUUUCAUUUACAGUUCUACAGCCUAUAUAUACUGCAUUUAGCAGAUUGAGCAACUCUAAAUCUUUCUUAGUUUUUUCACUUCCAUUUUUUGUUUUUUUCAAGGCGGAAAGAGAACUUGUUGGCAAGCUGUUGAUGAAGGGCGAUCACCGUUUGGGACACUCCAGUGUCAUGGACAUUGUAAAUGCAGCAUGGCAUGAUACCGGCUGUAGUACAUGCACAUUAACUUCCAUUUCAUCCAUUUACUUUUACUACCCAUUAAUCGUUUGUUUUUCUAUGAUUGUUAUUUAUUGACAGUUUAUGCAUCUUGCUGAUUGUACAGGAACUUAUAAUGCAGUCUUCUCAGUUUUGCUAUGAAAGGAAUUGCCAGUAUCAUGUCUUUUUUUUAUGUUACCAUGUUACCGGUCAUAUACUUAGGAUUACUUUUCUUCAUUCGUGCAAAUCAGACAUCAAACAUACUAUGGUGUUAAGGGGUUGCUUAGGUGGUAAAGCGCCCUUUCAGCACCUUGGAAUUGCCCCCCUUAGGUGCUUAAACGUCAUACCGGCGGUAGAGCAUCUUAGGACGUAUUAGUGCCUUUAAAACCUUGAAAUAUAAAUGUUAAUACCACUACCAAUCAUUUACUAAUUCUAUUUUGAUCAUAUUAUGUGCUAGAGGGAGGCAGAGCAGUGAACCGAAUGGGGACAGAUACAUGGAAUCUGAUUUGAAAAGCUAAGGUGCCACCAUAACUGAGUUUUCAGAUGGAAGCUUGCAGGAAAUACUCGGUGUGCAGGCCCUUCGUCUUUGUAACAGCGCAACCCUCAUGGCAGAGGGUUUGCUGCAGCGCUGCUGGGUAUCGAGGUAGUCUGCGUGAGGCCGGUUUGGGCAUUAUCCACUGCCUCAUUCAUUCUCCAGACCAAGCCCACCGCCAUGAAGGUUUGCUCAGUCAGAAAUGUAUUAAGGACCUGUGUAACUACUUGUAUUGUUAACUGAGAUAUUGAUAGUAAUUUAUUUGUUUUACUAUUUUGCUUUGUUUUCAUAGGAUAAUUCAUUGAUGGGUUAUUUUUUGGCAAUAGGUGAUUCCCCUCGCUAUAUACUGAACAAGAUUGGUUUUUUAUGUAUCCAAGCUAUACUGAAUAUUUUUUAGGGCAAAGUUUGGGCAAUUUUUUGUUGGUCUUCACGUGUUGUGCUAAUCAUAUAAGAUCACGAGCAUAUGUUUCUACAAGGUUUGUAAUGCAUCAGUUGAUGGUGAUAUUGUAUUUGCACAACUCAUAACCAUCUGUCCGCUAUCAAAGCAUUGUUUUUUCAGCUCAGAUCUUAGAAAAUUAGAAUGUUGUAUGGAUUUACUAAUUGUGGAGAUAAUCUUAUAGCAGGAAUAUGUGUAUUUUACUUUGUAGACAAAGUAGGCAUGUUAGUUCAUGCAGUUUAUGACAAGAGUUUUGAAAAACCAGGGGUGGGCAAGCGGUGUUUUCUGCAUGUAUGCAACAAAAUAUUAACAAAUGGAUUGCUUAUUGUCGAUUUGGGAAACCAUGAGUUCUGAUGCUUUUCUUGCUUAUGUCAUCACCAUCCCUUAUAAUAAGUUGUGAUACCUUUUCUUGCUGAUGCUUCUUCCGUGGAUUAUGCUCUUUGUAGCAAAUGCGAAGCUGGACUUUGUUGUUUCUGAGGACCUACUACUACUGUAUUUCUUCCUAUCUCAAAAUCUAUCCAGUUCAGAUACACCUUAAAUACCAUGACAAUUAUUUGCAAUCUUUUUUUAAUCCUAACUACAAAUAGGAAAGAGUAUAUAUCUUGGACUGGUCAUUUCUAUAAGUUGCAACCUUUCUGAGCACAUCUAAUUAUGGAUUGUUGAAGCAGCUAGGCAGCUCUGAGGUAGUAGUGGAUGCUGAUUUUGAAAUUACCUUCAAACUGAAGUGGCGGUCAUGUUCUUGUAGUGUCUUCAUGGCACUCGAUCGGGGCACUGCAAAGAGAACGGAAACCCAUCUCCACGGGAUGAAGACUGGUGAGCUGGGAAAUGCUCCAUGUUCAAAUUGAAAAUUUUGAUUCCCGGUUCCUGAUAUACCCACUUAGGAGGUGAGCUUGGAGUGGUGCCAAGUCUUUCAGCUGUUGAUUAUUUUCAAGGUGUUCAUUUUGCCCCACAGUUGGCUGCAUAGUUUAUAUGCAAAUACUAUGGGAGCCAGCAGCUUGAGAGCGUUGCUGACUCUGUAUCAGUUGGUUUUGUAAAAAUAUCUCUAAAAAAGAGGGAACUUGACUAUAUCAGUAUGUAAUUUGUUUCAUUUUUGAAGUUGUAUUUCAGUGGUUUCAUAUCUAACUUGCGGUAAUGUGUUAGUGCAGAUGGUCACCGUGCAUCUGGAUGCUAAGAAGGUGUUCGCUUUGUGAUUUUGUAACUUUAUUGCGGCUUUUGUUUGGUUCAAUUGCCCAUAAUUAGGUUCUGUGACUUUACACACGGCUUGAAUAUUGCUUUU